rnacentral:rRNA from 1 species
CAAGUAGUGAGGAAGGUGGGGAUGACGUCAAAUCAGCACGGCCCUUACGUCCAGGGCUACACACGUGCUACAAUGGCCGAUACAGAGGGCAGCUACCUGGUGACAGGAUGCAAAUCUCCAAAGUCGGUCUCAGUUCGGAUCGGAGUCUGCAACCCGACUCCGUGAAGUUGGAUUCGCUAGUAAUCGCGCAUCAGCCAUGGCGCGGUGAAUACGUUCCCGGGCCUU